UUCAGAAUCUUGCCCAAUGGACGAAAGUCUGAGGCAGCCAUACCGCGUGUGCGAAGAAGGCCUUCGGGUCGUAAAGCACUGUCAGAGGGAAAGAUUAUGACGGUACCCUCAAAGGAAGCCACGGCUAACUACGUGCCAGCAGCCGCGGUAAUACGUAGGUGGCGAGCGUUAUCCGGAAUCACUGGGCGUAAAGCGUUCGUAGGCGGCAAGGUUAGCCAGAUUUGAAAAACCGGGGCUCAACUCCGGGGCCGGAUCUGGAACUACCAUGCUUGAGCAGAUCAGAGGGCAGUGGAAUUCCCGGUGUAGCGGUAAUAUGCGUAGAUAUCGGGAGGAACACCAGUGGCGAAGGCGACUGCCUGGGGUCUUGCUGACGCUGAGGAACGAAAGCUAGGGGAGCGAACGGG
rnacentral:rRNA from 1 species